CAUUAUAUAAUUACCAAAUUAAGAUGCAUGCCAAAACCUUUCAUGCACCUUUCAUCCUAUACACAAACACAGCUAUGAGUUACACGUCUGUACUUCACCUUGGUUGACCCAGAAUACAACAGGCCUCAGGAGACAACAACACCCGACCUUGUCUGACCCAGCUGUUUACACUGCUGAAGCAUUUUUGUGGCUUUUGUGAAAUGAGUGUGGACUGUGGUUACUGUCUCCAGUAUGAUUCCUGUCCAUCUGUUCAAAAUUAUGGUCCUCUGGAAAGACAUUCAUCUAUGACACCCCAUCAAACGAAAGGAAAGGGAUAUAGGUAAAAAAUAAAGUGAACAGAACAGUUAUGCGGGCUGUCUGCGGGGGCCCUACCCUACCCAGUUACUCAUUGUUUUGAAACUGUUUUGUGUUCCAGCUUGAAUUCCU
rnacentral:lncRNA from 15 species